AGGUACUAUCACCAGACAGUAGCCUAACAUCACCAAAUAGUUGAAGACCGUGGUCAUCAUUUAGUUACUGCAAUGCCAUAGAGGUACAAUGAUAAUAUUAAAGGUACAGGAACUUUGUCAAGUCCAGUCUUCUGUCAUGUAAAUGUUAUGGACAAGUGUUUAUAUGAUGUCAAGGAUUCUUAAGAUAACCAUUUUAAUCAGCUGUACCAUGAUCCUGGCUUAUCUAUGAAAGUUUGUGUUAACCCUACCAAUAGCCCUAUGCUAAUUACAACUUUCUGAACAGAUAGAGAGAAUUUCUGGAUUAGGAAUGAGGUUCUGCUAUGCCAUAGAGCUACAAUGAUAAUAUCAAAGGAUUUCUUUCAAUUAGAAUUUCCAGAAUAUAAGCUAAUGGAACUGCUGUUUAACCUGUUCCAGAAUGAUAAAUGACUAUAAAAGAACACUUAAAGACUUAG